rnacentral:misc_RNA from 1 species
GAUGAAGAACGUAGUGAAAUGCGAUAAGUACUGUGAAUUGCAGAAUUCAGUGAAUCAUCGAAUCUUUGAACGCACAUUGCGCCCCUUGGUAUUCCGAGGGGCAUGCCUGUUCGAGCGUCAUUAUCACCCUUCAAGCUCUGCUUGGUGUUGGGGCCUGCUGUUAGGCAGCCCUUAAAAUUAGUGGCAGUGACCAUUAGGCUCUAAGCGUAGUAAUUCUUCUCGCUAUAGCGUCUAGUGGUUCCGCGCCAAAACCCCCAAUUUUUUAUGAUUGACCUCGGAUCAGGUAGGGAUACCCGCUGAACUUAAGCAUAUCAAUAAGCGGAGGA